CAGUAAAUAGUUUAAUUAAAAUAUUAAUUUUGGGGAUUAAAGUUGGGGUUUUCUUUUUACUGA
rnacentral:tRNA from 1 species